AGAGUUUGCUUCUGGCUCAGGAUAAACGCUGGCGGCGUGCCUAAUACAUGCAAGUCGAUCGAUAGAAGUCCAGCUUGCUGGACUGAAAUAGAGGCGAACGGGUGAGUAAUACGUAAGCAACCUGCCCACGAAGACUGGGAUAAUCCCUGGAAACGGGGACUAAGACCGGAUAGGUACAGAGAUCGCAUGAUCUUUGUAUUAAAGGUGAGAGACACUGGUGGAUGGGCUUACGGUGCAUUAGCUGGAUGGUGAGGUAACGGCCCACCAUGGCGAUGAUGCAUAGCCGGGCUGAGAGGCUGAACGGCCACAUUGGGACUGAGACACGGCCCAGACUCCUACGGGAGGCAGCAGUAGGGAAUUUUCGGCAAUGGGGGAAACCCUGACCGAGCAACGCCGCGUGAGUGAUGAAGGUCUUCGGAUUGUAAAGCUCUGUUGUAAGGGAAGAACGGCAUCUAUAGAAUAGGUGAGUGACGGUACCUUACCAGAAAGCUACGGCUAACUACGUGCCAGCAGCCGCGGUAAUACGUAGGUAGCGAGCGUUAUCCGGAAUUAUUGGGCGUAAAGGGUGCGUAGGCGGCCUGUUAAGUUUAUGGUGAAAGCGUGGGGCUCAACCCCAUAAAGCCAUAGAUACUGGCAGGCUAGAGUACUGGAGAGGGUAGUGGAAUUCCAUGUGUAGCGGUAAAAUGCGUAGAUAUAUGGAGGAACACCGGUGGCGAAGGCGGCUACCUAGACAGAGACUGACGCUGAGGCACGAAAGCGUGGGGAGCAAAUAGGAUUAGAUACCCUAGUAGUCCACGCUGUA
rnacentral:rRNA from 1 species